rfam:Candidatus Woykebacteria bacterium RIFCSPHIGHO2_12_FTLL_45_10 rifcsphigho2_12_scaffold_15375, whole genome shotgun sequence.
UUUUUGGAGAGUUUGAUCCUGGCUCAGGGUAAACGCUAGCGGCGUGCAUUAGGCAUGCAAGUCGAACGACGUGCUCGCAAGAGUUACGAGUGGCAGACGGGUGAGUAACGCGUAGGAAUCUACCCUAAAGUGGAGGAUAACUCGCCGAAAGGCGAGCUAAUACGCCAUGUGAAGGCAACUUCAAAGUACGUAACUGUACGCUUUAGGAUGAGCCUGCGUCCCAUCAGCUUGUUGGUAGGGUAAAAGCCUACCAAGGCGACGACGGGUAGGGGGUCUGAGAGGAUGUCCCCCCACAAUGGCACUGAGACACGGGCCAUACACCUACGGGUGGCAGCAACCGGGAAUCUUCGGCAAUGGGCGAAAGCCUGACCGAGCGACGCCGCGUGGAGGAUGACGGCCUUCGGGUUGUAAACUCCUUUUGCUAGGGAAUAAACCCUGUGAAAAGUUGACAAUAAGUUCACGAAUGUUGGCACUUUGGAAAAACCAGUGCUUAGCAAUGCCGUGGAUAGAUUGCCAGUUUCUCACAGGGUUGACUGUACCUAGAGAAUAAGCCGCUGCUAACUACGUGCCAGCAGCCGCGGUGAAACGUAGGCGGCAAGCGUUACCCGGAUUUACUGGGCGUAAAGAGUGCGUAGGCGGUUUCGUAAGUCACCAUUGAAAUUUCUCCGCUCAACGGAGAACCCGGUGGUGAUACUAUGAGACUGGAUGGUCAGAGGGGGUACCGGAACAGUUGGUGGAGCAGUGAAAUGCGUUGAUAUCAACUGGAACACCAGAGGCGAAGGCGGGUACCUGGCUGACUCAUGACGCUGUUGCACGAAAGCGUGGGGAGCAAAACGGAUUAGAUACCCGUGUAGUCCACGCCGUAAACCAUGGACACUAGAUAUUGGAGGUGUUGACCCCUUCAGUGUCGUAAGCUAACGCGUUAAGUGUCCCGCCUGGGGAGUACGGCCGCAAGGCUAAAACUCAAAGGAAUUGACGG